rnacentral:lncRNA from 1 species
CCUGAGAUUUCCUCUCCGUGACCCUUCUUCCCCCUCUAGGGGUCCUGGGCUGCCCUGAGGCCACCGCCUAGCAAGAUCAAGAUAGGGCUUGAGCGGCAGUGGGAUAGGGCAGUGGGGGUUCCGGGGGGGUCCGGUGCAGGCAGAACCAAGAGUGUGCCGGCGGAGGGCUGUCGGUACAGGGUGCAGGGCGUGGCGGCUGCAGGACCUCAGCUUGCCUCUUUAAAUCCCUUCCUGGGCACCGCGGUGGCCCGGCCCUUUCCCCUCGUGCUGUUUCUGCUGGAAACGCCGCACAGUCUCCUCGGGGGCAGCCGCCAGCGGAAACGGUUAUUGGCCGCCAGGCAAGCCAGUCCCAUCCUUCCCAGCAACUGGGACUUUCCGGGCAGGGCUCCCCAGCGCGGGUUCAGCUAAUUAAGGAAGCAAUUAGCCUCCCCUGAGGCUAUUCAUGCUUCCUCACCCACAGUUCUCAGGUUCUGUGAGACCAGAGCCUCAGUCUCCCGUGAGCAGAGGGUGUGUGUGUGGCUGCCACUAUUCUGCAGACACGCUGGCUCCACCCCAGAGAGUUGCAGGGCCAGGAAAUCUGCAUUUAAACAGACCCUGGCUCUCACACUUCGGAAACUGCCCGAAGCACCUCUCAAAUAUGGGACAGGUGCUUAGGCCGAAAAUCAGGAAUCUCUUGAAUGAAUGCAUGAAGGUGGAGCCCUUUCCCUUAAUGCGCAGGUGAAAAGGGCACCUCGGUGGAUUCUACUAAAUUUAAUAGAAGACCCAAGACGGGGUGGGGGAGACGUGCUUUGUGCUCACCUGGCUGGUUCAUGGGCAGGUGGCCUGGAGGACCCAGCCCUGGCAGCUGUGGGGUAGCUCCAGCCUGGGCCGGACAGCUUCUUUCAUCGCAGGCACCACUGCGGACAUUGCUGGGAGGAAGAGGAGGGAGAAGCGACGGGCUUCAUUAGGAACGGCUUUCGAUGGAUUGGACGAGGCGCGUCCACCCUGGGGAGGGCCAUCAUUUUAUUCAGUCUACUGAUGCAAAUGCUUAUCUCUUCUGGAAACACCUUCACAGACAGACCCAGAAUAUAGUUGAACCAAAUACUGGGCACCUCAUGGCUCCAACAGGUUGACACAAAAAAUGAACCAUUGCAGAAAACGAAGAACAGUCACCAACUCCCACCCAUGCAGCUGGCUCAUUUGCUGGGCUGCCCUCCCCAGCAGGUGGCACAGGAAUCCCUGCCUUGGCAGGGAGGAGGCCUGGGGUGUGUGCAGGUACCCAUGGGAAGUUUCUUUGCCAUGGGGAAAGCCAGAGUCACCCCUUGCUUGAACACAAGAGUUGGAGGUUUCAGUGAGCUGAGAUUACGCUAUUGCACUCCAGCCUGGGCGGCAGAGUGAGACUCUGUCUCUAGAUAAAUAAAUUAAAUAAAUAAAUAAAUAUAAUUUAAUAUAAAUAACUAGAAAUUUUUCAAUACUUGCAUCUCUGUAGGUUACCUCUGGAAGUGCAGGGCUUUGUCUUUUUGGAUUAACUCAGAAAUUAGACCUUCAGAAAACAACAUCAGCUCUGAUUCUCUGCACCCUUGAUGCUGCCGGUGGCGACUGCGGCUUCCUGAUGGAAAUGUAGACCUGAACAUAAGUCGCAGAAAAAUGCAGACUUGAGUUGGAGCUAAGCUGACUCAGCCUCGCGGUGACCGCAGCCCUGGCUGACACCUUGCUUGCAGCCUGGUGAGAGACAGCAGCCCGAGGACCCUGCUAAGCUGCACCCAGGCUCCUGACCCAUGGAAACUGUGAGAUGAUAAACAUGUACUGCUUAAGCUGAGAUUCGGGCUAAUUUGUUACACAGUCAUAGACAUCGUUUUUUGUUGUUGUUGUUUUUUGAGAUGGAGUCUCACUCUGUCGCCCAGGCUGGAGUGCAGUGGCACAAUCUCAGCUCACUGCAACAUCCACCUCCCAGGUUCAAGCGAUUCUCGUGCCUCAGCCUCCCAAGUAGCUGGGAUUACAGGCAUCUGCCACCAUGCCCGGCUAAUUUUUUUGUAUCUUUAGGAGAGACAGGGUUUCACCAUGUUGGCCAGCUGGUCUCAAACUCCUGAGCUCAAGAGAUCUGCCCACCUUGGCCUCCCAAAGUGCUGGGAUUACAGGCAUGAGCCACUGUGCCCGGCCUGUUACACAGUCAUAGACAUCUAUAAAAUACUCAACACGGUGCCGGCGCAUGGCAAGCAUCAGUUACUGACCACGGUGACCCUUCUGUGUACACCAGGGGAACUCAAAAUACUCAGGAAAUCUAAGCAUAUAAGCCUAGUCACCAGGCUGUCGACAUGACCCUUAACAAUGAACCUGUGUCUUUUGCCACCUCAUGAUGUCAUAGAAGAAGAGCAGCAUCAAUGUUAAGAGUCUGGAGGAGGGACUAGAUGCUGUGGCUCACACCUGUAAUCCCAGCACUUUGGGAGGCCGAGGCAGGUGGAUCACCU